rnacentral:lncRNA from 1 species
UUCCACAAUUUAUUUGAAAUACUAAACGAUGUCCGAUUUGAGUAAACGACCACUCGUUGGAAAUCUUAGGGUGUCAAGAAUACAAAUAUAAUUUUUGUUUUGAGGGUUAACUAUUCAAUUGGUUCAGUUUGACCAAAUAAUGGGUACUGGUACAGAAACAGAGCAUAAACUUUUCUCAAACUUGUAGGUAGAUUUUCUCAUACUAUACUUAAUUAAAUUUAACAAUUAUGGUUUCAAUCUUGUAUUACAUUUUGUCUUCUUUACACUGGAUUAAAAAUCAUUAGCAUACGACUUAUAUUCAGAGAGUUGUGAUAAAUUUACCACAGGUAUCUCUACAACAUUUUGCAGAAACUUUUCUCAAACUUGUAGGUAGCUUUUCUCAUACUAUACUUAAUGAAAUUUAACAAUUCCG